GACCCAAAUCUCUCAAAUUGUAAUGGUACAGGUUUAGAUCUAACCUAGCAACCUCUGUUUCCUUCCAUGGUUUCUACUGUCCAAGACCUCCGAUCGAUGGUACUUGAUCGUUUUUCCCUCCUCCGGCUAGAGCAUGACCAAGGAACGACGCCUUCUAGUUUGAAGCCUACAUCGCUGGCUCUCCAUUUGAUCCACCCAUCACAAGUGGCACAGCUGAUCACGUAUAGUUAUCUACCGAUGCAUCUUGGCUCAUGCGAAAGAAAAUUGUUCAUCCACCAGACGGGGUUUAUUGCGAGUCCAAUACUGGCGGUGCCGAGUCCAAUACCGACUGCUCUAUUGCUUCUCAUCGCUGGCAUGUGUAUGGCACCAUGCCAGUAUGCAACAACAAUCCUGGUGUCCGUAUGAAUAACUCUUGGUAUAGGUAUAUGUUGAAUCUCCAGUCUGCACACGAUCUUUCUUGAUUAGGCAUAGCAUGCGUGCAUUGAAGAAAUAUUAAUAUAAUGUAAUAAAAGAAACAUGUGUAUAUAUACUGUUUGCAUCCGAGUUGAGGUGUUUUUGUCAUGUUUUAUUUUGCACGGUGGUCAUCGACCGGUUAUAGGUUGCUCCAGGCCUCGAAGGCCCGGCGGUACUGCUCCUCGACAUGGAGAGCUGAUGGUGCUGCUGCUCCUCGGCACGUUUGAGCGGUCUGCUAAUAGGAGGUGUGAGGCGAGCUGCAAGACUUCACGGCACCUUUGAGUGGUCUGCUAAUAGCAGGCAUGAGGCGAGCUGCAAGAUUUCAGGCACAUAAACAGCGCAAUGGCAAGAGCUAUAUAAUAUAACAUUGAUAUUCUAGACCCCGCAGGAGACAUUAUAUAUUUAAGUGGUGUACAUGUACUAUGUAUAACUACAAGAAGAUUACUAUAUUUGUGACUACACUAGAAAUUUAUAGUUGUUGCAGCACGUGGUUAGUUAACAAUAUCACGGUGGUGGUCAUCGACCAGUUAUAGGGUGCUCCAGUGCUCAAAGGCCAGGCGGUACUGUUCCUCGACAGGGAGAGCUGGUGGUGUUGCUGCUCCUCUGCACCUUGGAGCGGUCUGCUAAUAUGUGGCGUGAGUCGAGCUGCAAAACUUCAGGCACACAAACAGCACAACGGCAAGAGCUAUACAAUAUCACAUUGAUACGUAUGUAUUCUCCUUUUCGUAGGACCAUAAAUUUCUUCUGAUUGCUCAAUCUCUAGAUAUUUAUACGCUUGAUUCAUAUUUUUUCUUUUUUCAGAUAUUCUGCACCCCGCAGGAGACAUUAUAUAUUUAAGUGGUGUACAUCUACUAUAUAUACCUACAAGAAGAUUAUCUAUGUUUGCGACUCUACAAGUACUGAAAAAAAUUUGAACUAGAAAUUUAUAGGUCCUGCAGCACGUGGUUAGUUUUUUGUUUUCUACUUGCCAACACUACUUGAUGAAUUAGGAUAUUGACUAUUUACAAGGAACGAUCAGCCAGAUCAGUUAGCUUUAUCAUACUAUAUACUUGGAUCUGAUUUCUUUUUUCCAGAUUCUAUUCCUAAAUGGUUCAUGGGUACACGUCCCAUUUUCAGGUUUGUUUGCCAGAUUUGUUCUUCUCCUCAUAGUCUAUCCCCUGAAUAUUAUAAUCUAUUUUUUUAUCGGGUUUCUAAAUUGUAUGAUUGUUUUGCU